GACGGAGGAUGCAAGCGUUAUCCGGAAUUAUUGGGCGUAAAGCGUCCGCAGGUGGACAUACAAGUCUGCUGUCAAAGACCGGGGCUUAACUUCGGAAAGGCAGUGGAAACUGAACAGCUAGAGUAUGGUAGGGGCAGAGGGAAUUCCUGGUGUAGCGGUGAAAUGCGUAGAGAUCAGGAAGAACAUCGGUGGCGAAGGCGCUCUGCUGGACCAUAACUGACACUCAGGGACGAAAGCUAGGGGAGCGAAUGGG
rnacentral:rRNA from 1 species